rnacentral:lncRNA from 1 species
UUGGAGGGUGCAGGAAGAAAAUGAUGGAUGAGAUGGUCUGUUAUGCUUCUGUUAUUGGCAGGACAGCCAGAGGAGGCAGACAGGACCUUUGAUGCCUGGCAAGCUGUACCACUGGGAGGUAGGGAGAAGUGUGUUUUCAAAAUGGAAAUUCUUAGUGUGUUUUGCUUUUGUGUGAGAUAUUAAUUGCAGAAAGAUUGGUAGG